AGGUAACUGUCACAUGUUCAGAGGUCGAAGUGAUGCUUAUUUUGAUGGGAAAGUCCCUGAAACGGUGGCUACUGCCAUCGGGACCUGGGACACCAUCUGGUGGCCACUUGGGUGUUGGGUGGGGGCUUCUGGAAGACCCCAUUUUGCAACCUCCCUUUCCUCCUUUCUGUUAACUGGAAUGGGGACAUGAUGGCCACAGCUCCUGCGGUCAUUAGACCAAGAAGUGACACCGAGGGCAAUGUUUCCUGCUAAGGAUGGUGAAACAGAAAAGAGAAAUGAUUCUGGAAUGUUCAGCCCUGUGCCAACCCUGGGCUGCCUUCCACUGGGAUUUUUUUUUUUUUUUUUUUUAAAAUAAAAAAAAAAAAAUAAACCCCUUUGAGUUGCC